rnacentral:sRNA from 1 species
AAUUGUCCGCGCGCCUCGCUGCGAUGGCGGCGGCGCCGAGCACAGUCACCCCGCUGGCGGCGGAGUCUUCCCCUCAGGAAGCUACCGUCUCUGCCGCCUCCUCCUCCUCCUACACCGCCUGCGCGGCGGCGGCGGCGGCGGCGGCGGCAGUAAUUGUUCCUGCCUCCUCCGCCACCUCCGCCCCUGCCUGCCCGCCUGCCGGUGGCUGUGGCGACGGCGGCGGCGGCGGCUUUGGCGGCUCCACUAUGGCGGCGGCGGGGAGGGGGGGCAGUAGUUUUAAAGUAGACACCCGCCCUUGCCUCAGAGAAGAUGCCAUUUGGAAUGAACAGGAAAAGGCUGAACUUUUUACAGAUAAGUUUUGUCAAGUAUGUGGAGUGAUGCUACAGUUUGAAUCACAAAGAAUUUCACAUUAUGAGGGUGAAAAACAUGCUCAAAAUGUUAGUUUUUAUUUUCAAAUGCAUGGGGAACAAAAUGAAGUGCCUGGUAAGAAAAUGAAGAUGCAUGUUGAGAAUUUUCAGGUGAGUGAUGUGUGUUGGUAUUGUAAUCUAAACUUUGAGUUAUUGAAUCUUUCUAACAAGAUUGUGCCUAUUUCAGGUGCAUAGGUAUGAAGGAGUGGACAAAAACAAAUUUUGUGAUCUCUGCAACAUGAUGUUUAGCUCUCCACUUAUUGCUCAGUCUCACUAUGUGGGAAAGGUCCAUGCUAAAAAACUGAAGCAAUUAAUGGAGGAACAUGAUCAGGCAUCUCCAUCAGGAUUUCAACCAGAGAUGGGAGUGCCUCUUACUACUUCUGCAGAGUCAACAUUCCUGAAGCCCCUUCCUGUCAAGCCUCCUCCAGGCACCUUCUCACUACUAGUGUAUUUUAUUCCCCUUUCAUAUUCUCUCUUCCACCCAUUUCUUUUCCUCCACUCACUAUUAUUUUUCAGUUCUUUCUUUACCCAGCCUUUCUCCUUCAUGUGAAAAUGUUCAUUCUUCUCUCCUCCUUGAAGCUCUAUUGUUUGUCAUAUGUAACUCUUUAUGCUCUGGUUCUUCUCCUCUAUUUCUGUUUCUUUUUUGUUUUCUCUAUGGGCUCUUUUUUUAUUCAUUACCUAGAUGUAGGUAUUCCCAUGGUUUCAUCCUUGACCUCACUCUACAAACACGAUUUCUAUUUCCCUGGUUUCAUUUCUCAUCUGUAUGCUUGUGACCUUUCUGUCAAGCAUUAGAUUCACAUAUCCAAAUGGCAGCUACUGCUUCACCUGGAUGCCUCAUAGCCAUUUCAAAUCCACCUAGUCAUUCAAAGUAGAAACCCACAGAAUUUUGCUUUCAGCUUUUAUCCUGAGAGUGGGGCUCACUGAACCUCUCUCCUUUCUAAAAUCUGUGGAAAUUACUUUUGGUAACUAAGGCACUGCAGUGAUCUCAGCAUUUAGUAUGAGAACCUAUGUUUGCCAUAUUUGUAGUAUUGCUUUUACAUCUUUAGAUAUGUUCCGGUCCCACAUGCAAGGAAGUGAACAUCAAAUUAAAGAAUCCAUUGUUAUCAAUCUAGUGAAGAAUUCAAGGAAGACACAAGACUCUUACCAAAAUGAGUGUGCAGAUUACAUCAAUGUGCAGAAAGCCAGAGGACUAGAGACCAAGACUUGUUUCAGAAAGAUGGAAGAGAGUUCUUUGGAAACCCGCAGAUACAGAGAAGUGGUCGAUUCCAGACCCAGACAUAGAAUGUUUGAACAAAGACUCCCAUUUGAGACUUUCCGAACAUACCCAGCACCAUACAAUAUUUCACAAGCAAUGGAAAAGCAGUUACCUCAUUCAAAGAAGACAUAUGACUCUUUCCAAGAUGAACUUGAAGAUUACAUCAAAGUACAGAAAGCCAGAGGACUAGAUCCAAAGACUUGUUUCAGAAAGAUGAGAGAGAACUCUGUGGAUACUCGUGGGUACAGAGAAAUGGUUGAUUCUGGACCCAGAUCAAGAAUGUGUGAGCAAAGAUUUUCACAUGAGGCUUCCCAGACCUACCAACGACCAUACCAUAUUUCACCAGUGGAAAGCCAGUUACCUCAGUGGUUACCAACCCAUUCAAAGAGGACAUAUGAUUCUUUCCAAGAUGAACUUGAAGAUUACAUAAAAGUGCAGAAAGCCAGAGGACUAGAGCCAAAAACUUGUUUCAGAAAGAUAGGAGAUAGCUCUGUAGAAACACACAAGAACAGAGAAAUGGUUGAUGUCAGACCCAGACAUAGAAUGUUGGAGCAAAAGCUCCCAUGUGAGACUUUCCAGACCUAUUCGGGACCAUAUAGUAUUUCACAAGUAGUGGAAAACCAGUUACCUCAUUGCUUACCAGCUCAUGAUAGCAAACAGAGACUAGAUUCUAUUAGCUACUGUCAACUCACCAGAGACUGUUUCCCAGAAAAACCAGUACCCUUGAGCCUUAAUCAGCAAGAAAAUAACUCUGGCUCAUACAGUGUAGAAUCUGAAGUUUACAAGCACCUCUCCUCAGAAAACAAUACUACUGACCAUCAAGCAGGUCAUAAACGGAAACAUCAGAAGAGAAAACGACACCUAGAAGAAGGCAAAGAAAGGCCAGAGAAAGAGCAGUCCAAGCAUAAAAGGAAAAAGAGUUAUGAAGAUACAGAUUUAGACAAAGACAAGAGCAUCAGACAAAGGAAAAGAGAGGAGGAUAGAGUCAGAGUCAGUUCAGGAAAGCUUAAGCAUCGAAAAAAGAAAAAAAGCCAUGAUGUACCCUCCGAGAAAGAAGAACGUAAGCACAGGAAAGAGAAAAAGAAAUCUGUUGAAGAAAGGACAGAAGAGGAAAUGCUUUGGGAUGAGUCUAUUCUUGGAUUUUGAAUGUUUAGUUUUGUUUACCCAAGGUUGAAUUGAAAAAAAAAAACAGUCAAUAUGGAUUUAGAAAAAGGAACAUCUGAUGAAGAAAAGGAGAGGUAGAUACAGUCAGUGUCACUUCAGGACACUUAGGGUUUUUUUGUAUAAAAAUUUAAAUUGAAUUAAAACAAGGAAAAAAAAAAGCCCAAACUUAACCUCUGAGAAAGAACAUAAGAACUCAAGGAGAACAUAUAAGAGAAAAGGAAACCUGUUAAAGAAAAGACAACAAUCUGUGUUUUGGAAUGAGUCUAUUCUUGGGUAUUGAACUUCUAGUUUUGUUUGCCCAAGGAUUAAUUGAGGAAAUCAGCUAAGAAAAUUGACUUAGACAAAAGCAAGAGGAUCAGAUGAAGAAAAGGAGAGGUAGAUAGUCAGUGUCACUUCAGGAAAGCUAUUUAAAAAAACUUGAAAUUUAAUUG